rnacentral:rRNA from 1 species
AUUGAACGCUGGCGGCAGGCCUAACACAUGCAAGUCGAGCGGAUGAAGGGAGCUUGCUCCUGGAUUCAGCGGCGGACGGGUGAGUAAUGCCUAGGAAUCUGCCUGGUAGUGGGGGAUAACGUCCGGAAACGGGCGCUAAUACCGCAUACGUCCUGAGGGAGAAAGUGGGGGAUCUUCGGACCUCACGCUAUCAGAUGAGCCUAGGUCGGAUUAGCUAGUUGGUGGGGUAGGCCUACCAAGGCGACGAUCCGUAACUGGUCUGAGAGGAUGAUCAGUCACACUGGAACUGAGACACGGUCCAGACUCCUACGGGAGGCAGCAGUGGGGAAUAUUGGACAAUGGGCGAAAGCCUGAUCCAGCCAUGCCGCGUGUGUGAAGAAGGUCUUCGGAUUGUAAAGCACUUUAAGUUGGGAGGAAGGGCAGUAAGUUAAUACCUUGCUGUUUUGACGUUACCAACAGAAUAAGCACCGGCUAACUUCGUG